CCCUUAGACGUUCUGGGCCGCACGCGCGCUACACUGACCAGUGCAACAAGCAUCCGUCCUUGACCGACAGGCCCGGGCAAUCUUUGAACGCUGGUCGUGAUGGGGAUAGACUUUUGCAAUUUUUGGUCUUCAACGAGGAAUUCCUAGUAAACGCAAGUCAUCAACUUGCAUUGAUUACGUCCCUGCCCUUUGUACACACCGCCCGUCGCACCUACCGAUUGAAUGGUCCGGUGAAGCCUCCGGAUUGGCGCGCACCCCGGUGCCGCCGAGAAGUUGACUAAACCUUACCAUUUAGAGGAAGGUGAAGUCGUAACA
rnacentral:rRNA from 1 species